rnacentral:tRNA from 1 species
ACCAGGAUGGCCAAGGGGUUAAAGCAUUGGAUUUAAGAUCUAAUGGACAUAUAUCCAUGUGGGUUCAAACCCCACUCCUGGUA